rnacentral:lncRNA from 1 species
CCCACGUUGCCCAGCAGGAUUUCAUUUUUGGGGGGUGCUGCUGUUCCAUCCUCUCAGAUCCCUCCGAGAACAUAGUAGAGUUUGGAUUUGCUGUGUGCCUUGUGAUGAAUGGACACUUACCAAUAACCGAAUUAAAUGCCAGUGGAUAAAGUGCUCCGUUGAAAACAGAUUAACAAGGAAGAAGACAAAGAGAGACAGCAGAAAGACAGACCCCACUGUGUUGCUUUGAGCUCCAGAGAUUGGCUGUGCUGGGGAGGACCUCUUGGUUCGACUGAGAGAAACAGCCUUCUUUAGGCUGUUCACUUCAUCAGAAAAGAUUUACAGCCAUUGAGCCAUCUGAGGACAAUGCCUGACCAGCUCCAUACCAACAAGCUGCUUGUGGGAUGUGUCACAGAUGCCCCCAUAGUCCACUGCUACACUGGCACAUUUCUGUGAGGGAGAAAAAGCUCUCCAGCUCUGCCCUCCUGAGAGAAGCUAU